AAGAACUUUGAAAAGAGAGUGAAAUAGUGCUUGAAACCGUUGGGAGGAAAGCGAAUGGAGUUGCUAUACGACCAGGGUGUCUCAAUCUGGCACGCAAGUUGGUUCCGGUGUAGUGACCCUGUGUCUACGUUCGUGGAGUGGUACCUGUCCUGGCGCGUGACUAUUCUAUCAGCAAUGAUAAAAUGAGUGCUGACCAGACGACGGUGGUCUCAAAGAAUUUAUACCGAAAAAAAAGAUGAAAAAUCCCAAAAUUCUACAUUUUGAUCAAAAUAUCUUUACUUUGUAAAUACCGCAAGGCAGUUGCAAAAAAAAGAUGGAAUUGGACAAAAUAAUGAUAUGACGUGAUUAAUUAUCAAAUAUUUUUUUCGGAUGAUAAUACGGACGGAAGGGCUUCAUUCGACCCGUCUUGUAACACGGACCAAGGAGUCCAGCCUCCACGCAAGUGCUUGGGUGGAAAACCCCAGCGCGCAGUGAAAGUAACAGCGUGAUAAUCUUAAUAAUCAAAAAAGAUUAUUCUGCUACGGUGGGAAUAUGUAUACGCACCGCCAUCCGACCAGCCCUCCUUUUUAGUGGCUGGCUUGUGACUGAGCGUGGAUGCUGGGACCCGAAAGAUGGUGAACUA
rnacentral:rRNA from 1 species